rnacentral:rRNA from 1 species
UGAGGAAUAUUGGACAAUGGGCGCAAGCCUGAUCCAGCCAUGCCGCGUGCAGGAAGAAGCAUCUAUGGUGUGUAAACUGCUUCUGUACGGGAAGAAACACUCCUUCGUGAAGGAGCUUGACGGUACCGUAAGAAUAAGGAUCGGCUAACUCCGCGCCAGCAGCCGCGGUAAUACGGAGGAUCCAAGCGUUAUCCGGAAUCAUUGGGUUUAAAGGGUCCGUAGGCGGUUUGGUAAGUCAGUGGUGAAAGCCCAUCGCUCAACGAUGGAACGGCCAUUGAUACUGCUAGACUUGAAUUAUUAGGAAGUAACUAGAAUAUGUAGUGUAGCGGUGAAAUGCUUAGAUAUUACAUGGAAUACCAAUUGCGAAGGCAGGUUACUACUUGUGGAUUGACGCUGAUGGACGAAAGUGUGGGGAGCGAACA